UGGCAUAUUUACGAUUCCAGGAUUAUAUUUUUAUUCAGCAAUUUGUAAAAACUGGGUCAGUAUAAUAAACUGGAUAUCUGAACACCUUGUUUUCAGGAGUACACCUAUUAUAAAUAUGAUUGGUGCUUAUUAAAUGUUAUUGGUUAAACAUUAGACUGUGACCUCCACAACUGUGGGAAGAGGCAGAAUGACUGAAAGAUAUAAAACUGGAAACCAGCCAUCUUUAUCCACUCUGGCCAGAAGAGCUGAAACAAAUCAAGAAGAUUAGCCGUUCAAGCUGCUGGCAAAUGUCUGUCAUUUGUUUACUGCCUCCUGAAUUCUGUAUUCAGAUAAAAAUAAAAUCUGAACCCUUAACAAGGCUUACAGAUCAGGGCUGCAGGGAUUUGCCCCUGUUCAGCUGCAUGAGUGAGGCAAACAUUAAUGUUGAUGGUGAUCCUAUUUUUCAGUUCAUCCUAAACGUGUUGGCUGGAGCUGAUGUUAUGAUACAGGACCGAACAUGAAAGCGUGUCUCCUUAACUAGCUGUAAUAAUAAACUAUCAUGUUAAAGACAUAUCACGACUCCAACAGCUGUGUGUGGUUGUGACAGGAAACACGCUCAUUUCCUUUGGCACAAGCAGCACAAUUAAAGGUGUUUAAACCAAAUUAGUACUAUAUGUCUCCCGUAUAACACAAUAGCUCUAUAAUACAAGCACCUGAACUGAAAUGUUACAGUAAUCCGUUUUAUACUGAUGGUGAAAUCGAGGGCUGAAACGACUCAGCUCAGUGUUUACAUCGAGCGGAGGAGAGGAAACACUCCCCCUACUGGGCAGAGAGAGAAACACAUGUGCUACCGUCUUAACAUGCUCGUAUUCGCCAUUGUGUUUGUUUAAAUACUAUAUAAAAUAAAAAACACUCUGGGAGCAGUUCACCACCGGGUUUGCUUUAGUUCUUCUUGGUGUACACCCAGCAUGGAGAGGCUGUAGCAGCAGCAGCAGCAGCACAGCGGCAGCAGCUCGCUGCGAGGCGGUUUCCGGUGUCCGUCCGUCUGCAGGAGGAUGGCGUCCGGCUUCAACCGCAUCCCCUCCACCGCCGGUCCUCCGAGUCCCAAAUAUACUGAAGGCUGUCGACCCCAGGCUAAAGACGGCAGUGGAAACCGUCGAUAAGCUAAGUAAGUAAUCACGAAUUGUUUUGUUAAAUGAUGUUUUUUUUUUCAAAUGCGCGAAGCUCGGCUGCAGGAGGCGGAUUUUCCGCUGCAGCCCCGGGGAGGCCUAGUUUGACUCGGGGUCCGUUUGCAGCGAAGACUCGUAUCAAACGCUAGACCAGUUAUUGUGGCCUUUCAUUAGGCGGCAUCUUCACCGCGGCGACGCUAGCUUACAGGCUGUGUCGCUUCGGUCGCCUUUGCCCUGUUGUAGCCGGGUUAUUGAGUAAUAUCGGUGUUAUAUGUUAUUUCAGUUUUGAGUCGAUAACCGGUGAUCAUCUCAGAGGAAGUCCAGUUGUUUAGAAACCGUAGUUAGCUGAGCGGUUAGCCGUUAGCCGUUAGCCACACUGCCGCAGCCGAUAAGCUAGCGUCUCACAGCUAGUUUCAUCCUGAAACAGAAACUAAUUCACAGUUAAUACGCUGUAGACAUUUACAUUUAAUACAUAAUCGCAAACUAAACAAACCGCGUACAACAUAUCACAGAGCCAUUUGCGUAACUUUUAAAUAUACGUACAGCUGAGGAAUUCAACCAUUACGUGUCUCAGUUGCGUUUCAGGAAAUAGACUGAGCCCUAUUCCUGUAUUUUACCUGUUAUUUUCACGGAUUUCGUCCUAGGAAAAAGCUUCGAGUGUGAACAUGUCACCAAAGUACCUGCCUGACACAUAAAAGUAUCUACACUCUUAUUUUACAUGUGCUUUUUGAAUAAUCGAGGAACAAGCUUUAGGCCUCCAGAGGUAACCUAGCGUUACUUCGUUUCUGUUCUGCGCUGCAACUAAAGGUUAGCGUUAUUUUCUUGACCUAAUAAUCUGCAUAUUAUUAUUAUUUUCAUGAUGAAUCGUUUAAUGGUUGGACCAGUUAAACAUCAGGUGAUGGUGAUAAACGCCCAUCACAAUAUGCUGGUGUCCCAGUUGACGUUGUGAAAUGUCCUGUCCAGCCGGUCGGUGUUGCAACUAACGAUUAACAAUUACUUCAGUUUGCCAUGACUGCCUCUUAUUAUUUAUUUUAAUCUGUAAAACAUCAAAUGCCAAAUGCAAUUUCUUUCAAUCGGGAAUCCACAACAAAAUAGGUCUAAUAUUCAGUUUGUAGUCGUGUGCGGCAAUGGACUGCAACACAUCCUGUAAAAUGAGAAGCUUGGUUGAGAAAUGGCAUUUCUUAUAAAAUUCUGCUACA
rnacentral:lncRNA from 1 species